CUUUUUAAAUAUUUAAAAUAGUCUCUGCCCAAUGAAAUUUUAAUGGCCGCAGUACUUUGACUGUGCAAAGGUAGCAUAAUCAUUUGUUUUUUAAUUGAAAACUAGAAUAAAAGAGUUGACGUAAAAUAAACUUUUUUAAAAAAUAUUUAAAUUGACAUAAGAGUCAAAAGGCUUUAAUAAAAUAGAGGGACGAUAAGACCCUGUGAAAUUUUAUUCACUUAUAAAAUCGCAAUAAGAAAUUGAAAUUUAAAUGAAUUUAACUGGGGCGGUUUGUAUAUUUAUCUAUUCAAAAGAAAAGACAAAAAUGUAAAUAUUUAAAACCCUGUUACGUAAGAUUUUAUAAAUUACUCCAGGGAUAACAGCACAAUCUCACUUGAUAGCACAUAUUGACAGUGGGGUUUGUGACCUCGAUGUUGAAUUGGGGAUACCCGU
rnacentral:rRNA from 1 species